AUGGCGGAGACGAAUGCGCGGAGCCUCUACCGCAAGAAUGGCAAGGCGCUCCGACUCGCCAUCGAGUUGUUGGAGCGCGAGGCAAACAAGGAAGCGAAGACAGCCUGCCAUGCGAAUGUGGAGGACCGCCUGCUCCGCAGGCUGCCGGUCGAAAGGUGCAGCUCCGACUCUGACCUGACGGACGGCUCCGCCUAUAGCUACGACGACGACGCACCUCCGCACGGUAUCAUCGGCAUCCGCACGGCCAUCCUGUUCCUCGCUGCGCUCGCGUGGUGUAGUGUGCUCGCCGCGGCCGCCGCCGGCGAGGUGGACGGCGUGUUCAACGUCAAGGACUACGGUGCUCGAGGCGACGGGGUCACCGACGACACCAAGGUCAUGGGCACGAUUACGGCGCCGCCGGCGGGCGCAUGGAGCGGGAAGAACUAUUGGCUGAUGUUCUACAAGGUCCACGGGCUCACGGUUACCGGCGGCAGCACCGGCUUGCUCGACGGCAGAGGCUGGACGUGGUGGCGCAACAAAUGCAAAGGCUAUGCUGACUGUGUAACCAAGGCACCGACGGUUAGUACAAACAUAAGCAAGUAUAGCGUUGGUGGUCAUGAGCUGCGCCGACGUGGAGCUGCGCCAAUUCAGAAGCAAGGACAGCCCGCAGAUGCACAUCGCCGUCAGCCAGAGCAGCAAGGUCCACCUGACGCAGCUGACCAUCACCGCGCCCGGGGAUAGCCCCAACACCGACGGCGUGCACAUCUCCCAAAGUGAAAACGUCCACGUCAGCAGAUCGACCAUCGGCACCGGCGACGACUGCGUCUCCAUCAGCUCCAGGAGCCGAUUCGUCACCGUCGACGGAAUCGUGUGCGGCCCCGGCCAUGGCGUAAGUGUGGGGAGCCUGGGCAGGAAUGGAGCGACCGCAUCCGUGGAGUACAUCGACGUGAAAAACGUCCACUUCAUCAACACUACAAAUGGGGCAAGGAUCAAGACGUGGCAGGGUGGGAAAGGUUACGCGAAAUCCAUCUCCUUCACCGACAUAAAGUUCACCAACGUGGACCAUCCUGUGGUCAUCAACCAAUUCUACGUAGACCACCACCAUGUCCCAAAUAUGGGGGCGGUGGCGUUGAGCAACAUAACGUACAAGAACCUGAGGGGGACAUCGAAGCACAAGACGGCCGUGGACUUCAACUGCGGCGAGAGCGGCAGCUGCACGAAUAUCCACGUCAACUCUGUGGCGAUCACCGCUGCGGACGGCGGAAGAACCGUGUCCCGCUGCCAGAACGCGCAAGGGGACACCUCCGGAUACGUCUACCCCAAGAUCCCUUGCCUUAAAUAAUAAUAGCUAGCAGGUAGAAGGCGAUCUAAGUCCGCGCGUGUUUAUGUGUGUGUAUUUUUUGUUUUAUUUUUAAAGUAAGAGAAGGGGUGGCAGUGGUAUUGGGGUUGAACAGUUGCGAAUGAAUCUUUUUGACAGACUUCAUAAAUUUUCAUUGCACACUGGUAGACUAUGAAAUUAGAAUCCG